GAUGUGCCUGGGUCCUUGAACUACAAAGGGCGUUCACUCUGGCCCAACUUGUUUUCUCCUUUGAUCCUCCCGACAGCUAUGAGGGAGGAAUACUUGACCGACAGAGCUGUUCUCUUGCAGUGAGCUCCCAGUCACCAAAGAGUCCAGGAAAGGGAGGAAGAAAUCAGAAGCUUCUUAGCAGUGCGGCGAUGGGGAGCAUCAUAUGAACCCAAGACUCAGAGCCCGGAGCGCCGGGUUCGACUCCCAGAUCAACAAACAACAGGCAGAGCCCGUGGGCUGAGGGAAGUUGGUUCCCUCCUCCACCACACAAAGGAGAUCAUGGAUCUCAUGAGGAUUAAACAUGAUGAAUCGUGUGAGGGGCUACAGGACCCAGUGCGCAUCAGAUGCUCAGCAAAGCAUCUCCAAGCCUGACCCCAGAGAAAGUGCUGACUGACUGGAGUCAAUCCUAUUAUUGAACCAAUUGAGGAUGUGCUGGAAUUCUUUAUAUCUGUUUCCCCACCUGUCCAGCUGGGGAAAUACCCACCUCCCUCAGUGGCCAACAUGAGGAUUCAGGGAGCCAGUGAGAGAGGCACUGUGCUCUGUGAACAGCAAAAACCUUGACUCUUCCACGUGUGUGUAAAUAUGGCUCCUUGUCCUCCAGCCACUCCUGCUUCCUCCAAGCGGACCCUUAGCUUCCAAGCCUACUCAUGCUGUCUCUCGACAGGCGUGUGAACAUUUCCACUGCCCUUCCCUCUGUCUGUGUGUCCUUAACAACUUAACUCAGGUACCACCUCUUCUAGGACCCCUUGCUGAACCCCACCCCUGCCCUGCAGGCUGUGUUAGGAAUCUCUGGAUGCAAGGACAGCCCCCCAGGUCUUCCUGCCUGUCUUCAGGGGGCUCACAGUUCAAGGAGAGCAACGGAAGAGGUCAGCAUGAGGCAGGGAUCAGAGAUCUAUCUCCCCUCCUUGAGGAUGGCACCGGGUCCUAAGGCAUGGCUGACUCCCUGCCCCUCAUGGGUGGGAUUGAGGGGUGCUCAAUAAAGCUUUCAGAACUUA